AUUAAGUAAUAUGGUAUACUUGUUAAUCCUUCUGGAAAGAGAAUUAUCAAAGUUUUCAAUACUUGAUCUGUUAUCUUUGGGCAAACUAUUGUUAUAUAAAUUAUAAUUGUAUUUCUUUUUCUUUUUCUUUUCUUUUCUUUUCUUUUCCUUAUAGGACUUAACAUAAAGGAGCUUGCCAGAUUAAUUCCAAGGUCCAUUUAGUUUAGAGCGCCUUCUCAUUAAUACAACAAACAAUAUAACCCAUGCAGGUAGUUCAAAUAUGGAUUUCUUCUUCUUUUAAAAGAAAAAUGAAAGAUGAUUGACAGUUUUUUCCUCUUGGGAAAGAUAGGCUUGGAUUAUUGGAUUCCUAGUGUUUUAGUUUUCCUUGGAUUCUUGAAUGUUUGCUGUGCUUUAGUUUCCCUUAGAUUUUUGAAUGUUUGCUGCGUCCUUUAUGUUUAUGCCACUGCCACUACAGUACUAAAUUGUCUUCAAGGUAAUAUUUCUUUUCUUAUUAUCUUCAGGUUUGUGUUCUCAGCAUAGCAUUGCACUGAUUUUCUUUUUACAUAAGCAUUUUUCUGUGUUUCAGGAAUAUUGGUAAUCUGGCUCCUAAAGUGGUAUAAGUACUACCAUACUUGUGAAUAAUCGUUUAAUCUCAAAACAGGAUUUAUCAAGCAGGAGUAAUAAGAUGUCCGAUUUAACCGCUGACCUGGAUCCUGACAAACAAAGCCUUGGAGAGAGGAAGGAAGACAUGUCACAUAAAGGACAUCUAACUAUGCAUCAAUUGCCUCGAGAGCAUCAAUGUACCACCUAAAAACUAAGGUUAUCAUAGAUGUUUCCCAGGGCACUGCUUAAUUAAAGAAUGAUUCCCAAUACUACUACAAAGCAUUUACCAGAUUCACACAACCAAUUUUAACAUGGCCUCUUCAGCACUUUGUCUUAAAGUCUGGAAGGAAAACUAUAAAGUAACUUACUUUGUUCCUGCUAUACAUUAAAUAAAAUUGAUGUUGGUAGAAAAGAUCAGUUUAACCCCAAACAAAUUCCUGCCUGCUGGAGCUAAAAUGAAACUCUAAGUACCUUAAUAAGGUUACUUAUGUAACACAAUAGUUGAAUAUAUGAAAAAGAGCUAAUAUUACAUAUAUGGAACAUAAUAUAAAACAUUAAUUAGUUCAAACCAAGUCUGAACUAUACAAUAUAUGCAAUAUGAUAUUGAA